ensembl:lncRNA
GAACAAGCAGGAGAAGGGAGUUUUUUAAACGGCACAUAAGGCGAUCUUUGCUGUGAUGGAUCCACACAAUCCAAAAGUAAACCAACGUGGAUGUCAGGCCAAAUCUAAGCAGGCAAGAGAAGAGCGAAAAAAGCUCCUCGCCCCUGCACACAAGUACAUGAUUGACAUCCUGGCUGACAGGCUGUCCCUGGAGCCAACUGAAGUAGAAAAAUUUAUUUUAGAUUCCUCAUCUUUUAGAGUGGAUGUUGCUGUCAACGCAGAGAACAUACAUGAGGAGGUCUUUUUUUCAAUGGUUGAUGCCAGAGAUGGCCUCUUGAAAGGAAUAAAAGAUGCGUGCAACUUCCUGCCACUAGCUCUUGAUGCAG